CAAUAGCGUAUAUUAAAGUUGUUGCAGUUAAAAAGCUCGUAGUUGAAUUUCUGGCGGGCGCGCCGGUCUUCCAAGUGUUGUACUGGGCGCAGUCCGCCAUCCUUGUGGAGAGGGCUCGCAUUGAGUUGCGUGUCGGAUCUGCAUCAUUUACUGUGAAAAAAUUAGAGUGUUUAAAGCAGGCUGUCGCUUGAAUACAUUAGCAUGGAAUAAUAAGAUAGGACUUCGGUCUAUUUUGUUGGUUGCGAACCGAGGUAAUGAUUAAUAGGGAUAGUUGGGGGUAUUCAUAUUUAAUUGUCAGAGGUGAAAUUCUUGGAUUUAUGAAAGAUGAACAACUGCGAANGNAUUUACNAAGGAUGUUUNCAUUA
rnacentral:rRNA from 1 species